rnacentral:rRNA from 1 species
UGGGGAAUAUUGGACAAUGGGGGCAACCCUGAUCCAGCAAUGCCGCGUGAAUGAUGAAGGCCUUAGGGUUGUAAAGUUCUUUUAUUGAUGACGAUAAUGACGGUAAUCAAUGAAUAAGCACCGGCUAACUUCGUGCCAGCAGCCGCGGUAAUACGAAGGGUGCUAGCGUUGUUCGGAAUGACUGGGCGUAAAGGGUGCGUAGGCGGUAAGAUGCGUCUGAUGUGAAAUCCCUGGGCUUAACCUAGGAACUGCAUUGGAUACGGUCUUACUAGAGUCCGCGAGAGGAAGAUGGAAUUGUGCGUGUAGAGGUGAAAUUCGUAGAUAUGCACAAGAACACCGGUGGCGAAGGCGAUCUUCUGGAGCGGUACUGACGCUAAGGCACGAAAGCGUGGGGAGCAAACAGG